rnacentral:rRNA from 1 species
UGGGGAAUAUUGCACAAUGGGCGAAAGCCUGAUGCAGCAACGCCGCGUGAGCGAUGAAGGCCUUCGGGUUGUAAAGCUCUGUCUUCUGGGACGAUAAUGACGGUACCAGAGGAGGAAGCCACGGCUAACUACGUGCCAGCAGCCGCGGUAAUACGUAGGUGGCAAGCGUUGUCCGGAUUUACUGGGCGUAAAGGAUGCGUAGGCGGAUACUUAAGUCAGAUGUGAAAAUCCCGGGCUUAACUUGGGAACUGCAUUUGAAACUGGGUAUCUAGAGUGCGGGAGAGGAAAGUGGAAUUCCUAGUGUAGCGGUGAAAUGCGUAGAGAUUAGGAAGAACACCAGUGGCGAAGGCGACUUUCUGGACCGUAACUGACGCUGAGGCAUGAAAGCGUGGGGAGCAAACA